UACAGAGGGGGCUAGCGUUAUUCGGAAUUACUGGGCGUAAAGGGCGCGUAGGUGGCCUGUUAAGUCGAACGUGAAAUCCCCGGGCUCAACCCGGGAACUGCGUCCGAGACUGGUUGGCUCGAAUCCGGGAGAGGGAUGUGGAAUUCCAGGUGUAGCGGUGAAAUGCGUAGAUAUCAAGUGGAACACCAGUGGCGAAGGCGAGUCUCUGGACAUUUCCUGACGCUGAGGCACGAAAGCCAGGGGAGCAAACGGG
rnacentral:rRNA from 1 species